rnacentral:rRNA from 1 species
AAAUUGAAGAGUUUGAUCAUGGCUCAGAUUGAACGCUGGCGGCAGGCCUAACACAUGCAAGUCGAACGGUAACAGGAAGCAGCUUGCUGCUUCGCUGACGAGUGGCGGACGGGUGAGUAAUGUCUGGGAAACUGCCUGAUGGAGGGGGAUAACUACUGGAAACGGUAGCUAAUACCGCAUAACGUCGCAAGACCAAAGAGGGGGACUUUCGGGCCUCUUGCCAUCGGAUGUGCCCAGAUGGGAUUAGCUAGUAGGUGGGGUAACGGCUCACCUAGGCGACGAUCCCUAGCUGGUCUGAGAGGAUGACCAGCCACACUGGAACUGAGACACGGUC